AUGAAGACCUUGUUUUGGAAUAUCAGGGGUUUCGGCGCUAGGGGGCACAGAGACCAGCUGAGAGAUCUUGUACGAGGUGAUAACAUUGAUAUUAUUGGUCUUGUCGAAAUGCUCAAAGGCUCGUUCUCUCCGAAUGAACUUUUCGUAGUUGCAGGGAUCAACAGAUUUGGUUGGAACUUCCUGCCUUCCUCUGGCCAUUCCGGUGGCAUCCUCAUUGGCACCAAGCACGAUGUUUUUGAUUUUGUGGCUUUUGAUCAUGGGGUUUUUUGGGCUAGCACUGUUGUGUUUCACCGUUUACUUAACGUUCUCUUGGAGGUUAUGGUGGUUUACGGGCCUGUUGAUCACUCUCUUUCCCCUUUGUUCCUGGAUGAGAUCACAACCAAAAUUGAGUCUUGUAAUAUUCCCCUGCUAGUUGGCGGUGAUUUCAAUCUUUUGCGCUCCCCCUUGGAUAAAAAUGAAGGAAAUAUGCCCUAG
rnacentral:rRNA from 1 species